CAGGGCGGCUGGGCGGCCGCUGCUAUGUAAAUGGCAGAGGAAAGUCCGAGCUCCACCGGGCAGGGUGCUGGGUAACGCCCAGGCGGGGCAACCCGACAGAUAGUGCCACAGAAACAUACCGCCCAGGGGGUUUCCUCCUGAGCAAGGGUGAAAUCGUGAGGUAAGAGCUCACGGCCCCAGCGGUGACGUUUGGGGCGGGAAAACCUCACCUGGUGCAAGGCCGAAUAGGGGGACGUAGGGUGCCCGGCCUGUCCCCGGGUUGGCCGCAUGAUCCCGAUGGUAACAUUGGGACUAGAGAGAUGGUCGCCAUCCCGACUUGUCGGGAUACAGAACUCGGCUUACAGGCUGCCCUGGCCC
rnacentral:RNase_P_RNA from 1 species